GGCGGGGCGCAGGGGCCGCUGGCCGCCCGCGUCUCUACGCAGGAAGGCGGAGUCCGCGCUCGGCGACCUUGGCUGCCCAGGCGGCCCUGCGGCGCGGUGCCCGCCCCCUGCUGCGCAGGCUGCUGCAGGUGUCAUGCUACCGUGAGGAAAGCCAGCCUGAAGGUGAGACUGGCCCAGAGGACAGAGGCAAGACACGAGCAGAGUGCAGGAGCCGGAACUGUGAUCGCACGGAAACUGAGGCCUGCCUGCCUGCCUGUGAUACUUCUAAGUAAUAUGCAUCAAUAACGCCCUUAUUUUUAUUGUUUACUUUUUAAAAACAUUUUUUCCAGCAUUAUUGAGGCAUAAUUGACAAAUAAAAAUUGUAUAUAUUUAAGAUGUACAACUUGAUGUCUUGGUAGACAUAUACAUUGUGGAAUAAUUACUAGAAUCAAACCAAUUACCAGUCCGCCACCUCACAUAGUUACCUUUGUGUGUGUGUGUGUGUGUUUGCUGAGACCAUUUAAGAUCUGCCCUCAGCAACUUUCAAGUGGGCAAUACACCCCCAAAAGCUUGUGGCCACCACCAUCCAACUCUCCGUUUUAUGAGUUUGACUUUUAAACAUUUUACAUGUGAGAUCAUGCCCUAUUUGACUUCCUGUGUCUGGUUGAUUUCAUUUAGCAUAAUGACCUCAGUGUUCAUCCAUGUUGUUGCAGAUGAUGGGAUUUCCAUGUAUUACACCACAUUUUCUUAAUGUAUGUCUGUUGGUGGACUCUUAGGUUGGUUGCUUCUGUGUCUUGGCUAUCGUGCAUAAUGUUGCAGUGAACAUGGCAGUGCAGAGAUCUCUUCAAGAUACUGAUUUCAUUCCUUUGGAUGAAUGCCCAGAAGUGGAAUUGCUGGAUCAUAUGGUAAUGUUUCUGAGUCCAAGCUUGUGCCACGCACUGCAUGACAUGCCGAAUGCUUUGAUGUGCCCCACUGCCGACAGGAUAAGUAUCUUCUUACCAAAUGUUUCAAAAACGGCAUCAACCUUUGUGUCAAUCCCUGGGAAGUCAUCUGCUGUUUCCUUGGGAAAG